UACGGAGGGUGCAAGCGUUAUCCGGAAUUACUGGGCGUAAAGGGCGCGUAGGCGGCCUUCUAAGUCGAACGUGAAAUCCCCGGGCUCAACCCGGGAACUGCGUCCGAUACUGGAAGGCUUGAAUCCGGGAGAGGGAUGUGGAAUUCCAGGUGUAGCGGUGAAAUGCGUAGAUAUCUGGAGGAACACCGGUGGCGAAGGCGACAUCCUGGACCGGUAUUGACGCUGAGGCGCGAAAGCCAGGGGAGCAAACGGG
rnacentral:rRNA from 1 species